rnacentral:rRNA from 1 species
UACGUAGGGUGCAAGCGUUAAUCGGAAUUACUGGGCGUAAAGCGUGCGCAGGCGGUUUUGUAAGUCUGACGUGAAAUCCCCGGGCUCAACCUGGGAAUUGCGUUGGAGACUGCAAGGCUAGAAUCUGGCAGAGGGGGGUAGAAUUCCACGUGUAGCAGUGAAAUGCGUAGAGAUGUGGAGGAACACCGAUGGCGAAGGCAGCCCCCUGGGUCAAGAUUGACGCUCAUGCACGAAAGCGUGGGAGCAAACAGG